rnacentral:tRNA from 1 species
GCCCUCGUAGCUCAGGGGAUAGAGCGCUUGCCUCCGGAGCAAGAGGCCGCAGGUUCGAAUCCUGCCGAGGGCAC